rnacentral:rRNA from 1 species
GGGUUGUGAGGUUAAGCGACUAAGCGUACACGGUGGAUGCCCUGGCAGUCAGAGGCGAUGAAGGACGUGCUAAUCUGCGAUAAGCGUCGGUAAGGUGAUAUGAACCGUUAUAACCGGCGAUUUCCGAAUGGGGAAACCCAGUGUGUUUCGACACACUAUCAUUAACUGAAUCCAUAGGUUAAUGAGGCGAACCGGGGGAACUGAAACAUCUAAGUACCCGAGGAAAAGAAAUCAACCGAGAUUCCCCCAGUAGCGGCGAGCGAACGGGGAGCAGCCCAGAGCCUGAAUCAGUAUGUGUGUUAGUGGAAGCGUCUGGAAAGGCGCGCGAUACAGGGUGACAGCCCCGUACACAAAAAUGCACAUGCUGUGAGCUCGAUGAGUAGGGCGGGACACGUGGUAUCCUGUCUGAAUAUGGGGGGACCAUCCUCCAAGGCUAAAUACUCCUGACUGACCGAUAGUGAACCAGUACCGUGAGGGAAAGGCGAAAAGAACCCCGGCGAGGGGAGUGAAAAAGAACCUGAAACCGUGUACGUACAAGCAGUGGGAGCACGCUUAGGCGUGUGACUGCGUACCUUUUGUAUAAUGGGUCAGCGACUUAUAUUCUGUAGCAAGGUUAACCGAAUAGGGGAGCCGAAGGGAAACCGAGUCUUAACUGGGCGUUAAGUUGCAGGGUAUAGACCCGAAACCCGGUGAUCUAGCCAUGGGCAGGUUGAAGGUUGGGUAACACUAACUGGAGGACCGAACCGACUAAUGUUGAAAAAUUAGCGGAUGACUUGUGGCUGGGGGUGAAAGGCCAAUCAAACCGGGAGAUAGCUGGUUCUCCCCGAAAGCUAUUUAGGUAGCGCCUCGUGAAUUCAUCUCCGGGGGUAGAGCACUGUUUCGGCAAGGGGGUCAUCCCGACUUACCAACCCGAUGCAAACUGCGAAUACCGGAGAAUGUUAUCACGGGAGACACACGGCGGGUGCUAACGUCCGUCGUGAAGAGGGAAACAACCCAGACCGCCAGCUAAGGUCCCAAAGUCAUGGUUAAGUGGGAAACGAUGUGGGAAGGCCCAGACAGCCAGGAUGUUGGCUUAGAAGCAGCCAUCAUUUAAAGAAAGCGUAAUAGCUCACUGGUCGAGUCGGCCUGCGCGGAAGAUGUAACGGGGCUAAACCAUGCACCGAAGCUGCGGCAGCGACGCUUAUGCGUUGUUGGGUAGGGGAGCGUUCUGUAAGCCUGUGAAGGUGUACUGUGAGGUAUGCUGGAGGUAUCAGAAGUGCGAAUGCUGACAUAAGUAACGAUAAAGCGGGUGAAAAGCCCGCUCGCCGGAAGACCAAGGGUUCCUGUCCAACGUUAAUCGGGGCAGGGUGAGUCGACCCCUAAGGCGAGGCCGAAAGGCGUAGUCGAUGGGAAACAGGUUAAUAUUCCUGUACUUGGUGUUACUGCGAAGGGGGACGGAGAAGGCUAUGUUGGCCGGGCGACGGUUGUCCCGGUUUAAGCGUGUAGGCUGGUUUUCCAGGCAAAUCCGGAAAAUCAAGGCUGAGGCGUGAUGACGAGGCACUACGGUGCUGAAGCAACAAAUGCCCUGCUUCCAGGAAAAGCCUCUAAGCAUCAGGUAACAUCAAAUCGUACCCCAAACCGACACAGGUGGUCAGGUAGAGAAUACCAAGGCGCUUGAGAGAACUCGGGUGAAGGAACUAGGCAAAAUGGUGCCGUAACUUCGGGAGAAGGCACGCUGAUAUGUAGGUGAAGCGACUUGCUCGUGGAGCUGAAAUCAGUCGAAGAUACCAGCUGGCUGCAACUGUUUAUUAAAAACACAGCACUGUGCAAACACGAAAGUGGACGUAUACGGUGUGACGCCUGCCCGGUGCCGGAAGGUUAAUUGAUGGGGUCAGCGCAAGCGAAGCUCUUGAUCGAAGCCCCGGUAAACGGCGGCCGUAACUAUAACGGUCCUAAGGUAGCGAAAUUCCUUGUCGGGUAAGUUCCGACCUGCACGAAUGGCGUAAUGAUGGCCAGGCUGUCUCCACCCGAGACUCAGUGAAAUUGAACUCGCUGUGAAGAUGCAGUGUACCCGCGGCAAGACGGAAAGACCCCGUGAACCUUUACUAUAGCUUGACACUGAACAUUGAGCCUUGAUGUGUAGGAUAGGUGGGAGGCUUUGAAGUGUGGACGCCAGUCUGCAUGGAGCCGACCUUGAAAUACCACCCUUUAAUGUUUGAUGUUCUAACGUGGACCCGUAAUCCGGGUUGCGGACAGUGUCUGGUGGGUAGUUUGACUGGGGCGGUCUCCUCCUAAAGAGUAACGGAGGAGCACGAAGGUUGGCUAAUCCUGGUCGGACAUCAGGAGGUUAGUGCAAUGGCAUAAGCCAGCUUGACUGCGAGCGUGACGGCGCGAGCAGGUGCGAAAGCAGGUCAUAGUGAUCCGGUGGUUCUGAAUGGAAGGGCCAUCGCUCAACGGAUAAAAGGUACUCCGGGGAUAACAGGCUGAUACCGCCCAAGAGUUCAUAUCGACGGCGGUGUUUGGCACCUCGAUGUCGGCUCAUCACAUCCUGGGGCUGAAGUAGGUCCCAAGGGUAUGGCUGUUCGCCAUUUAAAGUGGUACGCGAGCUGGGUUUAGAACGUCGUGAGACAGUUCGGUCCCUAUCUGCCGUGGGCGCUGGAGAACUGAGGGGGCUGCUCCUAGUACGAGAGGACCGGAGUGGACGCAUCACUGGUGUUCGGGUUGUCAUGCCAAUGGCACUGCCCGGUAGCUAAAUGCGGAAGAGAUAAGUGCUGAAAGCAUCUAAGCACGAAACUUGCCCCGAGAUGAGUUCUCCCUGACUCCUUGAGAGUCCUGAAGGAACGUUGAAGACGACGACGUUGAUAGGCCGGGUGUGUAAGCGCAGCGAUGCGUUGAGCUAACCGGUACUAAUGAACCGUGAGGCUUAACCUUACAACGCCGAAGCUGUU